UCCAGCAAGCUUUGCCUCGACGUCCCGAGCUCCAAGGUGCCGUUGAUUUACUCUUCGACGUAUGAUAUCGCAUUUCUCGGCAUUGAGAAGCUGCACCCGUUCGAUUCGGCUAAAUGGGGUCGGAUAUGUAGAUUCCUGUCCAUGGAUGAUGUUGCGGACAAAAAUUGGAUUGUAGAGCUAAAGGAAGCUACAAAGGAAGAUCUUCU